rnacentral:tRNA from 1 species
GGAGAGGUGGCCGAGUGGUCGAAGGCGCUCCCCUGCUAAGGGAGUAGGCGGCACAACCGUCUCAAGGGUUCGAAUCCCUUUCUCUCCGCCA